rnacentral:rRNA from 1 species
UACGGAGGGUGCAAGCGUUAAUCGGAAUUACUGGGCGUAAAGCGUGCGCAGGCGGUUUGUUAAGUCUGCUGUGAAAUCCCCGAGCUCAACUUGGGAAUUGCAGUGGAUACUGGCAAGCUGGAGUACGGUAGAGGAAGGUGGAAUUCCCGGUGUAGCAGUGAAAUGCGUAGAUAUCGUCUGGAACGCCGAAGGUGAAAACAGCUCGCUGGGAUUGUGCUGACGCUGAGACACGAAAGCCAGGGGAGCGAACGGG